rnacentral:misc_RNA from 1 species
GAUGAAGAACGUAGCGAAAUGCGAUACGUAAUGUGAAUUGCAGAAUUCAGUGAAUCAUCGAGUCUUUGAACGCACAUUGCGCCCCCUGGUAUUCCGGGGGGCAUGCCUGUCCGAGCGUCAUUGCUGCCCUCAAGCACAGCUUGUGUGUUGGGCCUCCGUCCUCCUCCCGGGGGACGGGCCCGAAAGGCAGCGGCGGCACCGCGUCCGGUCCUCGAGCGUAUGGGGCUUCGUCACCCGCUCUUGUAGGCCCGGCCGGCGCUUGCCGACACAUCAAUCUUUUUUCCAGGUUGACCUCGGAUCAGGUAGGGAUACCCGCUGAACUUAAGCAUAUCAAUAACGGAGGA